UACGUAGGGGGCGAGCGUUGUCCGGAUUUAUUGGGCGUAAAGCGCGUGUAGGCGGCUUGGUAGGUCUGCUGUGAAAACUCGGGGCUCAACCCCGAGACGUCGGUGGAAACCACCUGGCUAGAGUCCGGAAGAGGAGAGUGGAAUUCCUGGUGUAGCGGUGAAAUGCGCAGAUAUCAGGAAGAAUAUCCGUGGCGAAGGCGGAUCUCUGGGCCUUACCUGACGCUGAGGCGCGAAAGCUAGGGGAGCGAACAGG
rnacentral:rRNA from 1 species